CAGCGCCAAGAAGAGGCCUUUGCCGCUGGUCGGGAUUGGGAUGUCGAAGAACACAGUGUCGUCGGCCCGCUUCCGGAAGGUGGACGUGGAUGAAUAUGACGAGAACAAGUUCGUGGACGAAGAAGAUGGGGGCGACGGCCAGGCCGGGCCCGACGAGGGCGAGGUGGACUCCUGCCUGCGGAAACAUGACAGCUGCCCUACAGGCAGCUCUGAAGAACCCCCCUAUCAACACCAAGAGUCAGGCAGUGAAGGACCGGGCAGGCAGCAUUGUCUUGAAGGUGCUCAUCUCUUUUAAAGCUAAUGAUAUAGAAAAGGCAGUUCAAUCUCUGGACAAGAAUGGUGUGGAUCUCCUAAUGAAGUAUAUUUAUAAAGGAUUUGAGAGCCCGUCUGACAAUAGCAGUGCUAUGUUACUGCAAUGGCAUGAAAAGGCACUUGCUGCUGGAGGAGUAGGGUCCAUUGUUCGUGUCUUGACUGCAAGAAAAACUGUGUAGUCUGGCAGGAAGUGGAUUAUCUGCCUCGGGAGUGGGAAUUGCUGGUACAAAGACCAAAACAACCAAAUGCCACCGCUGCCCUGUGGGUAGCAUCUGUUUCUCUCAGCUUUGCCUUCUUGCUUUUUCAUAUCUGUAAAGAAAAAAAUUACAUAUCAGUUGUCCUUUAAUGAAA
rnacentral:lncRNA from 1 species